rnacentral:rRNA from 1 species
UUUAACUGAGCGUUCAGUUACUGGACGUAGACCCGAAACCGGGCGACCUACCCAUGAGCAGGAUGAAGCGAAAGUAAAAGUUCGUGGAGGUCCGAACCCACGAGCGUUGAAAAGCUCGGGGAUGACUGGUGGGUAGCGGUGAAAUUCCAAUCGAGCCCGGAGAUAGCUGGUUCUCCCCGAAAUAGCUUUAGGGCUAGCCGCAAGGUGAGAGAUACGGAGGUAGAGCACUGAAUGUCCUAGGGGGUAUUGCACCUACCGAAGACUAUCAAACUCCGAAUGCCG